rnacentral:rRNA from 1 species
UAGGGAAUCUUCCACAAUGGGCGAAGGCCUGAUGGAGCAACGCCGCGUGUGUGAUGAAGGGUUUCGGCUCGUAAAACACUGUUGUAAGAGAAGAACAUAUCUGAGAGUAACUGUUCAGGUAUUGACGGUAUUUAACCAGAAAGCCACGGCUAACUACGUGCCAG